rnacentral:tRNA from 1 species
GCGCUUGUAGCUCAGCUGGAUAGAGUGACUGGCUACGAACCAGUAGGUCGGGGGUUCGAAUCCCUCCAAGCGUG